UAUCAUGCAAGUUCGAGGGGCAGCGCAGGUAGCAAUACUGGGCGGCGACCGGCAAACGGGUGCGGAACACGCUACGCAACCUUCCUUCAAGAGAUGGAUAGCCCGAAGAAAUUCGGAUUAAUACAUCGUAAAAUCAUAGAGUGGCAUCAUUCAAUGAUUAAAGAAUUUCGCUUGAAGAUGGGCGUGCGCCUGAUUAGGUAGUUGGUGAGGUAACGGCUCACCAAGCCGACGAUCAGUAACUGGCGUGAGAGCGCGACCAGUCACACGGGCACUGAGACACGGGCCCGACUCAAACGGGAGGCAGCAGUAAGGAAUAUUGGUCAAUGGACGCAAGUCUGAACCAGCCAUGCCGCGUAUAAGGAUGAAGGUCCUCUGGAUUGUAAACUUCUUUUAUCUGGGACGAAAUCACCUUUUUCUAAGGGUGUUGACGGUACCAGAGGAAUAAGCACCGGCUAACUCCGUGCCAGCAGCCGCGGUAAUACGGAGGGUGCAAGCGUUAUCCGGAUUCACUGGGUUUAAAGGGUGCGUAGGCGGAUUUGUAAGUCCGUGGUGAAAUCUCCAGGCUUAACCUGGAAACUGCCGUGGAUACUAUAAAUCUUGAAUGUUGUGGAGGUUAGCGGAAUAUGUCAUGUAGCGGUGAAAUGCAUAGAUAUGACAUAGAACACCAAUUGCGAAGGCAG
rnacentral:rRNA from 1 species